UUUUUUUUUUUUUUUUUUUUUUUUUUUUUCCCCGGCAGGAUAUGUCUGUAAUUUUCACUGCAGAUUAGCUCCGGUACUCUCGGUGCAGUCAUGAACUCUCUUUGUUAUGGUUCUGGUGCAGGUGUUGGCCACAGAAAAUCGCCGGUUUUGUUGCCGUCAUAAUGUCAUUAAAGACUGGAUUUUCUGCUAAACUGUAUCAAGUUCAUCUUGGUGCCAAACGUGCUCAAGUGAGAGUGGAAAGGAGUAGCAACAAUCAGAAAAAGGCUCGCAUCAGAUUCUUCAGGUCAGCCCCCAAACCUGAUUUGGCGGUUCACUGCACUGAACAUUUGUGCCGAAAACUCUAAAACCAAUUGUAUAUAUUGUUAGUACGGGUGUAUAAAUUUUAUACAACUGUUCAUAAAUUAUACCAGCUGUUCAGUUACGUCGAACUAGCAUAGAAUUUGUAUACUCGUCGAAAACAAAACGUUAGGUUGUAUGUGGCCAAGAUAUUUACCUAGCAACAGAAAUGUAUUGAGAUCAUAAAGUUCAACUGUAUUCUGUAUUUUUUGAUUUACAAGCAAAAUAUCAAUGACAAAAAGU
rnacentral:sRNA from 1 species